rnacentral:rRNA from 1 species
CCUACGGGGUGCUGCAGUGGGGAAUAUUGGACAAUGGGCGAAAGCCUGAUCCAGCCAUGCCGCGUGUGUGAAGAAGGCCUUCGGGUUGUAAAGCACUUUCAGUGGGGAAGAAAGCCUUGGGGCUAAUACCCUCGAGGAAGGACAUCACCCACAGAAGAAGCACCGGCUAACUCCGUGCCAGCAGCCGCGGUAAUACGGAGGGUGCGAGCGUUAAUCGGAAUGACUGGGCGUAAAGCGCGCGUAGGCGGUCUGAUAAGCCGGUUGUGAAAGCCCCGGGCUCAACCUGGGAACGGCAUCCGGAACUGUCAGGCUAGAGUGCAGGAGAGGAAGGUAGAAUUCCCGGUGUAGCGGUGAAAUGCGUAGAGAUCGGGAGGAAUACCAGUGGCGAAGGCGGCCUUCUGGACUGACACUGACGCUGAGGUGCGAAAGCGUGGGUAGCAAACAGGAUUAGAUACCCCAGUAGUC